rnacentral:rRNA from 1 species
GAUGAACGCUGGCGGCGUGCCUAAUACAUGCAAGUCGAGCGAACAGACGAGGAGCUUGCUCCUCUGACGUUAGCGGCGGACGGGUGAGUAACACGUGGAUAACCUACCUAUAAGACUGGGAUAACUUCGGGAAACCGGAGAUAAUAACGGAUAAUAUAUUGAACCGCAUGGUUCAAUAGUGAAAGACGGUUUUGCUGUCACUUAUAGCUGGAUCCGCGCCGCAUUAGCUAGUUGGUAAGGUAACGGCCUACCAAGGCAACGAUGCGUAGCCGACCUGAGAGGGUGAUCGGCCACACUGGAACUGAGACACGGUCCAGACUCCUACGGGAGGCAGCAGUAGGGAAUCUUCCGCAAUGGGCGAAAGCCUGACGGAGCAACGCCGCGUGAGUGAUGAAGGUCUUCGGGUCGUAAAACUCUGUUAUUAGGGAAGAACAAAUGUGUAAGUAACUAUGCACGUCUUGACGGUACCUAAUCAGAAAGCCACGGCGAACUACGU